rnacentral:rRNA from 1 species
UACGUAGGGGGCUAGCGUUGUCCGGAUUUAUUGGGCGUAAAGAGCGUGUAGGCGGCCAGGUAGGUCCGCUGUGAAAGUCCGAGGCUCAACCUCGGAAUGUCGGCGGAAACCCUCUGGCUAGAGUCCGGAAGAGGAGAGUGGAAUUCCCGGUGUAGCGGUGAAAUGCGUAGAUAUCUGGAGGAACACCGGUGGCGAAGGCGGCAUCCUGGACCGGUAUUGACGCUGAGGCGCGAAAGCUAGGGGAGCAAACGGG